rfam:Triticum urartu cultivar G1812 contig1221722, whole genome shotgun sequence.
UACGUACUCCCUCCGUUCGGAAUUACUUGUCAUAGAAAUAGAUGUAUCUAGAUCUAAAACACGUCUAGACUCUAGAUACAUCCAUUCUUUGACAAGUGUUUUCGGACGAAGGGAGUAGUAC